AGAGUUUGAUCCUGGCUCAGGAUGAACGCUAGCUACAGGCUUAACACAUGCAAGUCGAGGGGAAACGGCAUUGAGUGCUUGCACUCUUUGGACGUCGACCGGCGCACGGGUGAGUAACGCGUAUCCAACCUUCCCAUUACUGUGGGAUAACCUGCCGAAAGGCAGACUAAUACCGCAUAGUCUUCGAUGACGGCAUCAGAUUUGAAGUAAAGAUUUAUCGGUAAUGGAUGGGGAUGCGUCUGAUUAGCUUGUUGGCGGGGUAACGGCCCACCAAGGCAACGAUCAGUAGCGGGUCUGAGAGGAUGAUCCGCCACACUGGGACUGAGACACGGCCCAGACUCCUACGGGAGGCAGCAGUGGGGAAUUUUGGACAAUGGGCGCAAGCCUGAUCCAGCCAUGCCGCGUGUCUGAAGAAGGCCUUCGGGUUGUAAAGGACUUUUGUCAGGGAAGAAAAGGCUGUUGCUAAUAUCGACAGCUGAUGACGGUACCUGAAGAAUAAGCACCGGCUAACUACGUGCCAGCAGCCGCGGUAAUACGUAGGGUGCGAGCGUUAAUCGGAAUUACUGGGCGUAAAGCGAGCGCAGACGGUUACUUAAGCAGGAUGUGAAAUCCCCGGGCUCAACCUGGGAACUGCGUUCUGAACUGGGUGACUAGAGUGUGUCAGAGGGAGGUAGAAUUCCACGUGUAGCAGUGAAAUGCGUAGAGAUGUGGAGGAAUACCGAUGGCGAAGGCAGCCUCCUGGGAUAACACUGACGUUCAUGCUCGAAAGCGUGGGUAGCAAACAAGAUUAGAUACCCUGGUAGUCCACGCCCUAAACGAUGUCAAUAAGCUGUUGGGCAACUUGAUUGCUUAGUAGCGUAGCUAACGCGUGAAAUUGACCGCCUGGGGAGUACGGUCGCAAGAUUAAAACUCAAAGGAAUUGACGGGGACCCGCACAAGCGGUGGAUGAUGUGGAUUAAUUCGAUGCAACGCGAAGAACCUUACCUGGUCUUGACAUGUACGGAAUCCUCCAGAGACGGAGGAGUGCCUUCGGGAGCCGUAACACAGGUGCUGCAUGGCUGUCGUCAGCUCGUGUCGUGAGAUGUUGGGUUAAGUCCCGCAACGAGCGCAACCCUUGUCAUUAGUUGCCAUCAUUAAGUUGGGCACUCUAAUGAGACUGCCGGUGACAAGCCGGAGGAAGGUGGGGAUGACGUCAAGUCCUCAUGGCCCUUAUGACCAGGGCCUCACACGUCAUACAAUGGUCGGUACAGAGGGUAGCCAAGCCGCGAGGUGGAGCCAAUCUCACAAAACCGAUCGUAGUCCGGAUUGCACUCUGCAACUCGAGUGCAUGAAGUCGGAAUCGCUAGUAAUCGCAGGUCAGCAUACUGCGGUGAAUACGUUCCCGGGUCUUGCACACACCGCCCGUCAA
rnacentral:rRNA from 1 species